rnacentral:rRNA from 1 species
UACGAAGGGUGCAAGCGUUAAUCGGAAUUACUGGGCGUAAAGCGUGCGUAGGCGGUUGUUUAAGUCUGCUGUGAAAUCCCCGGGCUCAACCUGGGAAUGGCGAUGGAUACUGGCGAGCUAGAGUGUGUCAGAGGAUGGUGGAAUUCCUGGUGUAGCGGUGAAAUGCGUAGAGAUCGGGAGGAACACCAGUGGCGAAGGCGGCCUUCUGGACCAAUACUGACGCUCAUGCACGAAAGCGUGGGGAGCAAACAGG